rnacentral:rRNA from 1 species
UACGUAGGGGGCUAGCGUUGUCCGGAAUCAUUGGGCGUAAAGAGCGCGUAGGCGGCCAGAUAAGUCCGGUGUGAAAGUCACAGGCUCAACCUGUGAAUGCCGCUGGAAACUGUCUGGCUAGAGUCCGGGAGGGGCGAGUGGAAUUCCUGGUGUAGCGGUGAAAUGCGCAGAUAUCAGGAGGAACACCAAUGGCGAAGGCAGCUCGCUGGAACGGUACUGACGCUGAGGCGCGAAAGCGUGGGGAGCGAACAGGAUUAGAAACCCCCGUAGU